UUAUAGGCAUGCGCCACCACACCUAGCUAACUUUUUUAUUUUUAGUAGAGAUGGGAUUUCACCAUGUUGGCCAGGCUGCUCUAGAAUUCCUGACCUAAGGUGAUCCACACGCCUGGGCCUCCCAAAGUGCUAGGAUUACAGGUGUGAGCCAGUGUACCCAGCUGAGAAAGGUGCUCUCUUCUUUGUCCUUCCCUGCCUCUGUUUACUUCCUAAGUGGCACCAUUUCUGCCCAAGUACACCAAACAUCAUUGUCUCUUUGAAGGUAAUUAAGAAGAUUGUAUAAGAUGUCAUUAAGUUUUAUCACAAUUACACACAAGGACAGGCUAUUGGACACAACCAUCUAAGUACAUAUGUCCUAGAUUCUUAGGUGGCCAUGCAGCACAGUUCAGAGUCAGGCCAAAGCUCAGCUGACUAUAGGAAGGCCUCACCUUCCUUUUGAUGCGGUUACAAGAUAGUUCAUUUGCAAUCUUGCAGAAAGAGCUUUGAAGAAAAGCACUGUAAGCUGUGUGGUUGUAAUUGGAUUUAAGUACUGUUGAAUAUAAUAUAAAAGUGACGCACCCUUCUAAUAAUUAAAGUUGUCAUCUCCAGGUUUUAUUCAACGUUUGAAUCAUGCUCAAACUUGCAGACUUGACUUAGAGCUUAGAUGCUUCAUCUCCAAAGGAAGCUGGCCGUGGAGUAUAACAGGAAAUCUAGUAAGCAAUCUGGAGUUUUCCUCUAGAAAGUGCUGUGGUCUCAAAGUACAGUCCUGGUAUCUGGACACAACGCCACAAAGGUUGCGGCACAGAGGCGCUAAACCCCAUACUCUGAUGGUGUAGGACAUUGCUUCCAAAGAGAUAGCAGUUUCCGUAGAGCUGAAUCUACUGGAGCACAUAUUAAUCUCUUUUUAUUCUAGGAGGAAGAGAAUCACAUCACAGAAAAGUCAUGAAAUGAUUGAAAUGUUCUUUUCUGUUCUCCCAAAGCAUCAUUAAAUGUAUGUUGAACCUCAUCAUAUAAUCUGAUUAACACGUGUGCUUGAGAUGAUCCAUUAUAAUGAUGACAAUGGGAAUUUCCAAAGAACACUUAUUCUGUGCCACGAACGGUGCUAGCCACUUGCCAUGAAUCAUUUCCUUUAAUCUUCUCAGGAAUUUGGUUGAGAACAUUGAGACGCUGAUUUUAAGUGACUUUUCUAAGGCCAUGUGCAUAAUGCAUAGGUUUGAGUUCCAUGUGUCUUCGACUGCAGAUCCAUGCUGGUCCACGCCUCCUAGCUCUCAAACAGCAGUGAUGUAUCAUAAGAAAAGGACCAGGAGAUGAAGGGGGUGGGAACUGGCAUCUGCCCAGUACUUGGUCUGUAUCAGGUACAUCACAUGUUUUCGCAUGCUCAGCUCUACAUAAUUAAUAAGUAGGUGAGCUAAGAUUGAACACCAGAUGGAUCUGCUUUCAUAGUUCACUCAUGUUCCCUCAACUGGACUUGGUGCCUGAUUACUUUAUGUGAGUUAAAAAAAAAUUAAAACAGGUAUGAAAGUUAGAUUCAGGCACCACUUAACCCCAAAGCUAACUAAAAAUGAUACUGGGAAUUAAACAUAAGACACUGGUACCCUGAUUACCUAUCUGCUGCAUAACAAGUUACCCCAAAGUGUGGCGGCUUUAAUACAACAAUUUAUUAUUAUUAUCACAAUUCUGUGGAAUGAAAAAUCAGGUGGAACACAGUAGAAAAGCGUGCUUUUCUAAAUAAAUUUAUUUAUUUAAUUAAGUUUUAACGGACACAUAGUAACUGUA
rnacentral:lncRNA from 1 species